GUCUCUCCCCUUUUUUUUUCUUUUUUUUGGCAGCACAGUAAAUAGUCUGUAGAAAAAAUAAUAAUAGAGACAGAGUUUAUUCUUCUUCUUCAAGCUCAGCCACAUGAAGAAUGUAAUUCCAAAAGUAAACUCACAAAAAAACAAUACAUUGUAUUCUAAUUUGAAGCAAUAGGUAGUAGUAGAUUAGACUGUUUUAAUGUAUAUAAGAUUUAUACAAAUAUUUGAUCCCUAAAUGUCAAACUUUUUCUUUGCUACAGAGUUUAAUUUGUAAAAAAAAAAUUUAAAUGUAUAUGCAUUUUUAUCUGCUAUAGGAUCUAUAUGAAAGGCCAAGGGUAUAUAUACAUUUAAAGUCGAUAUGAUUUGUAAAUUGUGUCAUCAUAUUAAUCAUCACUAAAUACAGCCAUUGUCAUAUUUUGCUCAAGGUUUGCAAAUUUCUUUUAUCUGAUCCUAUACAUUGUUUGAAAUAAAUUUAAACCGUUUUAUGAAGAAUUAGCCUCACUUCCAUAUCCACUUCCAUGGGUCACCUCCCUGUAUCUACUUAAUUAGGCAAGUAGAAGCUUUCCCUGCAAAUCGUUGAAUUAACAUGUCUCGGGGAUGUGAGAUUUUUGGCCUUAGCUCAUCUAUGACAUCCAGUCUCACACGUUCAUCUGAAUUUAGCACCUUUAAUACAAUUGGAACAUGUUUCUUCAUUUGCAUAUACCUUUUACAGAUCCAACGGAAUGGCACAGCAAGAGUCAUACUGUGAAAUAAAAUGUGCUUUUGACAAGAUUUGACAUGCAAUCCAUAAUUAAUAGAAGUUUAAUACUGCUGCAGUUUCUUACUAUGCUAUUGCUCUUUAGCAAUCCGGUUAUGGGAUUCAAAUACUCUAUUUAAACUGCAUGCAAAAUGCUAAAGUUCUGAGUCUUUAUUGGCAGAAAAAAAGCACAAUUUGAACAUUAUUUACCAUGUUUAAUGGCACUCACCGUUUAUAACUUACAAGCCAAAGUCAUAAUAAAAUCAAUGAAGACUUGCAAGUAAAAUGCUAAAUAUUAAGAAAUUCGAAAUGCAAAACUCCGAAAUAUUAAUGAUAUCCCUGAUUUGCCCAUUUGAACAAAUGUAAAUCCUUAUAACGUACUUGGUUAUACAUAUUUUGUUGGUUUUGUUUAAUUCAGACAGAUAAAUAAAGUUGGCAGCUUAUUUCUAAAAAAAAAAAAAAAAAAAAGUCUUAACAUAUCAUUAAUGAAUGCUUGCAAAGUGUGUUUUACAGGAACGUUUUUGUACUUUUAUUCAGAGCAUUAAACAAUAGACAUGGGCAAAUGCUUGCAAAAAAUUAAAAUUGUAAAAAUAAACCGUUUGCCUCCUAUAGGAACUUAUAGCAAUAAUACCUAAAAUCCACCUUCCGGCAGAUUUUUCACAUACACAUGCACACAGAAAAAUCU